UGUAGUGGGUCGUUCAGGCCCACGGGAGUACACUCAUCAAUGGAGACACUGGGCUGAAAUAAAUAAAAAAGGGGGAGAUGUGGAGAGCCGUUUUUAGCCAUUUUCCGGGUUAGGGCCUAGUGGGCAUUCUGCGGCCUGCUCCUAGAGUACGCCCCUCCCAUCGAGUGAGCCAAGAUGGCGCUCGAGCCCUGCUUCCGCAUUAUGGCGCUAGAAGCAGCAGUCGCUGCUAGCCUAUUGUACACGCUUACGUGGUGUUUGUUUGUUGGUUAUGAUCAUUGUAUAUAAGAAAGUUCCCGGGCAGAGCUCGGAGAGACAGCCCACAAGGAGCCGAGAUCUGAAGAG